GUGGGGAAUAUUGCGCAAUGGGGGAAACCCUGACGCAGCGACGCCGUGUGAGGGAAGAAGGCUUUCGGGUCGUAAACCUCUGUCAGAAAGGAAGAACCUCCCAAGUCCGAAUAGGGCUUGGGACUGACGGUACUUUCAGAGGAAGCACCGGCUAACUCCGUGCCAGCAGCCGCGGUAAUACGGAGGGUGCAAGCGUUAAUCGGAAUCACUGGGCGUAAAGCGCGCGUAGGCCGCUUUGUAAGUCGGACGUGAAAGCCCUCGGCUCAACCGGGGAACUGCGUUCGAUACUGCGAGGCUUGAGUCCUGGAGAGGGUGGCGGAAUUCCGGGUGUAGGAGUGAAAUCCGUAGAUAUCCGGAGGAACACCGGUGGCGAAGGCGGCCACCUGGACAGGUACUGACGCUGAGGCGCGAAAGCGUGGGGAGCAAACAGGAUUAGAAACCCCAGUAGUCC
rnacentral:rRNA from 1 species